CUUUGCUGUAAUUGGCAGAGAUAUAUUUUUUAAUUUAAGUCAUGUAACAAUUCUAUCAAUCUGUAUACGCACUUAGGUGCCAAUGAAUGCAUGUCACACAUGAAUGAAUUGAAAUACUUAGCACAGCUUUCGCUGGUACAGUAAUUUCAGAUAGGGGUAUGAUUUGUUUUAUACAUCUUUUCUCUGCAGACAGAAGGUCUGACACUAGGCCUUGUAAAAGGAUCUUAAGGCCUGAGGAGGAUGACUUGGAAAUUAAAUGAGAACAUCAGGAGCUGUGGGGGAAAAGUUUGGAAAUGUGAAAAAGUCACUAACAAUAGAUGAAUGUCCUUCCUUAAGGUCAGCUGCUAGGCAACCAGACAGGAAACAAAAAGGAGCCCCUUCUCUCGGCUGGAGCCUGGCUACAAUGACAGCAGCAAUGUGCAAAUCUGAAGAGGCUAGUUCAGAAGAGCAUGGAUCUGUUCAGACCAGCUUAAAACUCCUGGUAAGCAAGAAUCAAAUAAUAUAUUCAGAUUCAAAGCUUUUUGGUCAAAUGUUUAAGAAAAACAAUUUUGGUUUUACUUAA
rnacentral:lncRNA from 1 species